rnacentral:sRNA from 1 species
GGGCUGUCGACACGUUCAACCCGUUCUGCUGACUCGAGAAGGAAGUCGGCCGUGUGGCUCUGGGUCUCCGGGCCCGCGACCGUCCGCCAGUCGUCCCGAGAAUCUCCGGCCUGUGAAACCGUGAGGGGAUUCGGCCACCCAGGCCACUCUUCACCUCCACCAUGAGCCUGGACAUCCAGAGCCUGGACAUCCAGUGUGAGGAGCUGAGCGAUGCUAGAUGGGCCGAGCUCCUCCCUCUGCUCCAGCAGUGCCAAGUGGUCAGGCUGGACGACUGUGGCCUCACAGAAGCACGGUGCAAGGACAUCAGCUCUGCACUUCGAGUCAACCCUGCACUGGCAGAGCUCAACCUGCGCAGCAACGAGCUGGGUGAUGCCGGCGUGCACUGCGUGCUCCAGGGCCUGCAGAGCCCCUCCUGCAAGAUCCAGAAGCUGAGCCUCCAGAACUGCUGCCUGACGGGGGCCGGCUGCGGGGUCCUGUCCAGCACACUACGCUCCUUGCCCACCCUGCAGGAGCUGCACCUCAGCGACAACCUCUUGGGGGACGUGGGCCUGCAGCUGCUCUGCGAGGGACUCCUGGACCCCCAGUGCCGCCUGGAAAAGCUGCAGUGAGUUUGCGUCCUGCCCCAGGGCCCGUGCUGCCCACUGCCUGUUCCUCAGCCAGCCCCCUACAUAGAACACAAGGUCACAAUGGCCUUGUGGUGCUCUCCUCUCCCCAUGAUGCUGGGGCUGGGGGGAUCUGUCAUCGCUCUCCCUCCCCCUCCAGUUUCCCUUUGCAAGGCACAGCUGCCCCAGGACCUGAUAGUGGGAACAGAUGCCUGGCCGUGACUCAGGCUCCACUCACCACCUCAGUGUGUGUGGGGGACCCGGCCACUGUGAGUUGUCCACAGCCUGGCACGUGCAGGUGGCCCUGCCCUCCAGAGGCUGGUUUCUUUCUCCCGAGCCUGGUUGGGCCCCAGAGUCUGAG